UACAGAGGGUGCGAGCGUUGUCCGGAAUCACUGGGCGUAAAGGGCGCGUAGGCGGCCUGAUAAGUAGGGGGUGAAAUCCUGUGGCUUAACUGCAGGGCUGCCUCCUAGACUGUUAGGCUCGAGCACGGUAGAGGCAGAUGGAAUUCCCGGUGUAGCGGUGGAAUGCGUAGAGAUCGGGAAGAACAUCGGUGGCGAAGGCGGUCUGCUGGGCCAGUACUGGACGCUGAGACGCGAAAGCGCGGGGAGCGAACGGG
rnacentral:rRNA from 1 species